UACAGAGGGUGCGAGCGUUAAUCGGAAUUACUGGGCGUAAAGCGUGCGUAGACGGCUAUCUAAGUCGGGUGUGAAAGCCCCGGGCUCAACCUGGGAAUUGCAUUCGAGACUGAAUAGCUAGGGUACGGUAGAGGGAAGUGGAAUUUCCGGUGUAGCGGUGAAAUGCGUAGAUAUCGGAAGGAACAUCAGUGGCGAAAGCGACUUCCUGGACCAGUACUGACGCUCAUGCACGAAAGCGUGGGGAGCAAACAGG
rnacentral:rRNA from 1 species